UUUCUUGUAGGCUAUAAAUUGCUGCAUCAUUAUCAUGUUUUGUCUUCUUAGUCCUCCGUUAGUUCUCAGCAGCAAUCGGCUAGGGUUCGGAUUUGAAGAAGGGUCGGGAGUUUGUUCACCAUGAGGGCCAAGUGGAAGAAGAAGCGUAUGAGGAGAUUGAAGAGGAAGCGCCGAAAGAUGAGACAGAGAUCCAAGUAGUGCUUUAAUCUUAGUUUGUUUCUGUUGAAUUUUACAGUUGUUUAUGUUCUCAAAUGGAAGCUCAGUAGUUAGUGUUACUGGCUUUUCCUUUUUGUGUUUUGAUACAUUUUGUUGGCUUUAAUUAGUUUAUGUUUGGUUUUGUCUUAUUAGCUCGAAACAAUGUGCGAAUCAACAAAAUUUCUUAUUUGCAUC